rnacentral:rRNA from 1 species
UACGUAGGUGGCAAGCGUUGUCCGGAUUUAUUGGGCGUAAAGCGAGCGCAGGUGGUUUCUUAAGUCUGAUGUGAAAGCCCACGGCUCAACCGUGGAAGGUCAUUGGAAACUGGGGAACUUGAAUGCAGAAGAGGAGAGUGGAAUUCCAUGUGUAGCGGUGAAAUGCGUAGAUAUAUGGAGGAACACCAGUUGCGAAGGCGACUCUCUGAUCUGUUAUUGACACUGAGGCUCGAAAGCGUGGGGAGCAAACAGGAUUA